rnacentral:rRNA from 1 species
AACGAACGCUGGCGGCAUGCCUAACACAUGCAAGUCGAACGAGGCCUUCGGGUCUAGUGGCGCACGGGUGCGUAACGCGUGGGAACCUGCCCUUAGGUUCGGAAUAACUCCCCGAAAGGGGUGCUAAUACCGGAUAAUGUCUUCGGACCAAAGAUUUAUCGCCUUUGGAUGGGCCCGCGUUGGAUUAGCUAGUUGGCAGGGUAAAAGCCUACCAAGGCGACGAUCCAUAGCUGGUCUGAGAGGAUGAUCAGCCACACUGGGACUGAGACACGGCCCAGACUCCUACGGGAGGCAGCAGUGGGGAAUAUUGGACAAUGGGCGAAAGCCUGAUCCAGCAAUGCCGCGUGAGUGAUGAAGGCCUUAGGGUUGUAAAGCUCUUUUACCCGGGAUGAUAAUGACAGUACCGGGAGAAUAAGCUCCGGCUAACUCCGUG